rnacentral:rRNA from 1 species
AACGAACGCUGGCGGCAGGCCUAACACAUGCAAGUCGAGCGCCCCUUUCGGGGGGAGCGGCGGACGGGUGAGUAACGCGUGGGAACGUACCCUUUGCUACGGAAUAGCCUCGGGAAACUGGGAGUAACACCGUAUGUGCCCUUCGGGGGAAAGAUUUAUCGGCAAAGGAUCGGCCCGCGUUGGAUUAGGUAGUUGGUGGGGUAAUGGCCUACCAAGCCGACGAUCCAUAGCUGGUUUGAGAGGAUGAUCAGCCACACUGGGACUGAGACACGGCCCAGACUCCUACGGGAGGCAGCAGUGGGGAAUCUUAGACAAUGGGCGCAAGCCUGAUCUAGCCAUGCCGCGUGAGCGAUGAAGGCCUUAGGGUUGUAAAGCUCUUUCAGGGGGGAAGAUAAUGACUGUACCCCCAGAAGAAGCCCCGGCUAACUCCGUGCCAGCCGCCGCAGUAACAC